CGACCACAGCUCACAGAAGCACGCGAGCCCAACCUCCACGAAAAGAAAAUAGCGGAAUGGGCCUUCGCCUCUCUUUUAUCAUGACUGUACUCAACCAGCUGUAUCUUGGAAGCUUGGUUCUGAUUGGGCCAGUGACACAGAAGUUCUUUCCCACAAGGAGCUCAUGCUGACCAUCAGGUUGUGAGGACGGACGCACACUGGCCAUGUUCUGAAGUGGCUUACCUGCUAGGACCUCUGCUCUGCCAAAGGGACAGACUUCUCUGUCAUCACUCCCCAGAAGCUGGAAGAAAGAGCCACAGCCAUGCCAGGAGCAGAGCCAGGGUGUGCGGGACACAGCAGCAGCAGCCACAUAUGAGGGGCUGUCUACACACAAGGAGGAGAUAGGAUUCCAUUCUUGAGAUGCCUGUGGCUGCUUCUGUUGGAUCUGGUGGCAGUCCUUUCUGGAUUUCUCAGAGGAUCAUCAGUGCAACACCCUGAGGAAAGCAGUAGCAUAGAAAUUACACAGUUCUACUGGAGAUUCGCCUUCAUCCAAAUCGAAGAUGAAGCAUUUUGGGGGCAAUAAUAGGAUGUUAAUUGUUAACCAAUUCUGGGUCCUGGAAAUAUGAGAGAGCUUAGUUAUCUAUAUUUUAUAUUCCUCUUUAAAAAUCUUUAAAAUUUAGAAGUUUAAAAAAGCAUCAAACAUGCCACGUUUAUUUUCUCUUGAGAUAUUUAAGGAUUACAGACACUUAAAAAUAUACAUAAAGCAAGAGUCUGGCACAUACAUAUUCCUAACAUAGCAAAACUGUGUCAUUCCAGAGAUUUUGGCAUACUUUGGAAUGGGUGCCUUGGUGAUCUACAGUUUUCAAGAACAGUACACUUACACCUUCAGUAAGAACUCCAGCUUCUCUACAGCUUUAUUUCCUAAAGAGGUCAUGCUGACCAGAGAGACAGCCACACUGAGCUUACGAACCACCAUCCCCCAGCUUACUGCUCUACAAGAGCUCCUUCCACGAGGAAUACCUUUCAGUUGUUCUCACCCUAAAUGGUGAGUGUCCUCAGCAUAAGAACAAGAGUGAGGCCAAAUAUUAUGACCAGAGCAAGGUGGGGCCUUUCAAUGUUCAAACCACAAACAAGAAACUCAGCAACAUUCCCUGCAACUGUCAUUUUAUUAGCAUUGGUUUAUUUUUCAUUAUAACCCUAAAUAUUUAUCAAAAAAGUUAAAGUUUGGUGAUUAAAAUUAAGAUACCUUUCUUCCAUAAGAUUUUGAUCAUUUUUAUGUAUUUGAUGUGAAACUCUUGCUUCUUGUUGUCUGGUGGCCUUUCCUUCUCUAUAUGAAUAAAUUUUUAAUCAAUUUA